GUUCUUGCUUCAGCCACACAUAUACUAAAAUCGGAAUGAUACAGAAAAGAUUGGCAUAGUCCCUGCACAAGGGUGACAUGCAAAAUUCGUGAAGCAUUUUAUAUUUAA